ensembl:lncRNA
GGCAGAAGGAUCACAGUGUAAAAAAACCCAGCAGCUUUGAGCAGGAGAAGGAGAAUGAAAUAUAGGGCUGGAGAGAGAAAGGAGACCCAGAAGAGCAGCAGUUGAUUCAUGCAUAAAUCAGCAGAAUCUGCUAUCACCCAGCCAGAUUACUGAGUUAUCCAUCCUGAACCUGAACAGCUUCCAAAUGCUACACUGCAGAUUCAGCUUAUCUAAUUCAAUACGUUUCAGAAGCUUCGCUCUGCGUGCCUCUCCAGACUUAUUUUGCAAAAAAAUGCAGGAAAAAAUCAGCAGCUCCCAUUCACAUCACAGCUCCUGAAUCUGUUGUGCUCGGGUUUGCUCUGUAACCACAGGGUGAUGCUUUCUCAACAGAUGCUGGUUUCAAACAGAAUAGCCGAGGUUAUUAUUAAAGGCAGGGUAUUGGUCCUCUUUUUGAGGCUUUGCUGCAGAUGUCACUCAUGACCAUAGUUAUUUCUGCUUGAUACAGCUCAAUGUCUUGUAAAGCCUAGGAGCAGUCCCUGAAGGCAGGCUGUGUCCUUCCUAGAGACUGGCUUAACUUCCUUCAAAUACACCCACCCCGCAGGAGAAAACUUGAUCUGAACAGCUCUUGUCAGCAUAGGUCACAAUGGACAGUACAAAUUCCAUAGAGGCCUUACAGUGUGAGUCAAUGCUCCCAGCCACCUUGGGCCAUGCUCAGGAGUGUGCUGGAGUGGGAUCCAAUGCUGUGUGGGGAAUGCAGGACAUUUCUGCUGUGCAGUCCUUUCCCCAGGUAUCUCCAGCAAACCCAUGGAUGUCCCCUGAACAACUCCUGUGCCUCAGAAACCCAUGUGAAGCUCAUGCUUUGCACUUCUACAUAACCCCACUAAGGCCCUCCAGAAACUGGGCUGGUACAGUGUCUUCUGAGGAAAGAAAUAUUCCAUGAUGAUGUCCUGCCAGGGAAAGAAAUGUAGUCUUUAAAUAUAAGAGUGGAUUUAUUACAUGAGAAAAAUCUAGUGUGGGUUUUGUCAGCAUGUUUUUAAUACUUUCUGAUUCGGAGGAGAAAAAAUUAUUACCACUGUAGGUGCCAAAUCAACUGCCACUUCCCAGCCAUCCCCAAGGAGGGGACAGUGUGUCACCUGGCUGUGGGCAGAGGCUGAGGGCAAUGACAGCUGGUUUUUAAUCACAUAUCACUGGGUUUAAUAUAGCUCAGGUUUAUAGUGGUUACUUAGUGGCUGUUUUAUGACCCUUGUGAUGUGACUCUGGAUUUCCUCCAGUUUCUGGUAGACAAGAUCUCAUGUGAUUCACUGUUCUGUUAUUCUCACACUGCUGUCCCUUCCCCUUCCUUGUGCCUCAGGGGAGCUCUGGUUGGUUGGUCACUGUGUCCUUUUUCAGGUUUUGGGAUAUAUUUGUCAGGGUUUCAGGUGAGACCUCAAUCAGAUGAAGUAUCCAUGGACCUCUUAAAGCCCGUGCCAUAGCAGAAAAGUUUGACUGGUUUAAGUAUACCCGUUAAUCUUUGAGAUGCCAUUUAUUCCAGUAGGCACAGACACUUGCUGUUGUUUCACUGUCUGCCUUCUUAUUUAUGAUCUUUAUCCUCAUACUCAGUGCAGAAAUUGCGCCUCUAACUCUUCCGUAUGUCAUCCUGAAAGAGUCUUCAAAAAAUCUCUGUUCUACUUUGUUACCACAACCUGCUUUUGCAAACAAAAUCUUGUCCCAUGCCAGGACAACAGUAGGGUGCAAGUCCAGCUUUAGGGGCUUCUCUCCUUGGUAUCCUUGAUUCUUUAUUUCAUAACAUAAAUGGAAUCCAUUUGGGAAAUAAUCAGCUUCUAUUGCUCGGAGUAGCAGUGAUCAGGUACUGUUCCUUCAGGUAUUUGAAAAAAAUAUCCGUGUACAUGAAUAUACCACAAAAGCAGGAGUUUGGAGCCUGAGAAUCAGGGAAUGAAGAG